UUCGUAUUGUUGUGAGAGAGGUGAAAUUCUUAGACCACAGCAAGACAAACUACUGCGAAAGCAUUUGCCAAGAAUGUUUUCAUUGAUCAAGAACGAAAGUUAGAGGUUCGAAGGCGAUCAGAUACCGCCCUAGUUCUAACCAUAAACUAUGCCAACUAGCAAUCUGCUUAUAUAUGUUCUAUGAUUAAGUAGGCGGCCACGGGAAACCAAAGUAGGGUUAUGGGGGAAGUAUGGUUGCAAAGCUGAAACUUAAAGGAAUUGACGGAAGGGCACCACCAGGAGUGGAGCCUGCGGCUUAAUUUGACUCAACACGGGAAAACUUACCUGGUCCUGACACUAGAAGGAUUGACAGAUUGAUAGCUCUUUCUUGAUUUGGUGGAUGGUGGUGCAUGGCCGUUCUUAGUUGGUGGAGUGAUUUGUCUGGUUAAUUCCGAUAACGAACGAGACUCUAGCCUAUUAAAUAACACACAGAAUCAUGUCUUCUGUGGCGUUUCUUAAUGGGAUCAAGUGUGUUUAACGCUU
rnacentral:rRNA from 1 species